rnacentral:rRNA from 1 species
ACAGGGAUGCCCUAGUAACGGCGAGUGAAGCGGCAACAGCUCAAUUUGAAAUCUGGCUCUCGGGCCCGAGUUGUAAUUUGUAGAGGAUGCUUUUGAUGCGGUGCCUUCCGAGUUCCCUGGAACGGGACGCCAUAGAGGGUGAGAGCCCCGUCUGGUUGGAUGCCAAAUCUCUGUAAAGCUCCUUCAACGAGUCGAGUAGUUUGGGAAUGCUGCUCUAAAUGGGAGGUAUAUGUCUUCUAAAGCUAAAUACCGGCCAGAGACCGAUAGCGCACAAGUAGAGUGAUCGAAAGAUGAAAAGCACUUUGAAAAGAGAGUUAAAAAGUACGUGAAAUUGUUGAAAGGGAAGCGUUUAUGACCAGACUUGGGCUUGGUUAAUCAUCUGGGGUUCUCCCCAGUGCACUUUUCCAGUCCAGGCCAGCAUCAGUUUUCCCCGGGGGAUAAAGGCGGCGGGAAUGUGGCUCUCUUCGGGGAGUGUUAUAGCCCGCCGUGUAAUACCCUGGGGGGGACUGAGGUUCGCGCAUCUGCAAGGAUGCUGGCGUAAUGGUCAUCAACGACCCGUCUUGAAACACGGACCAAGGAGUCGUCUUCGUAUGCGAGUGUUCGGGUGUCAAACCCCUACGCGUAAUGAAAGUGAACGCAGGUGAGAGCUUCGGCGCAUCAUCGACCGAUCCUGAUGUUCUCGGAUGGAUUUGAGUAAGAGCAUACGGGGCCGGACCCGAAAGAAGGUGAACUAUGCCUGUAUAGGGUGAAGCCAGAGGAAACUCUGGUGGAGGCUCGCAGCGGUUUCUGACGUGCAAAUCGAUCGUCAAAUAUGGGCAUGGGGGCGAAGACUAAUCGAACCUUCUAGUAGCUGGUUUCG